ACAGUGAAUAGAGCAACAAUUUUCUAGCCAUUUCUGGAAAGAGAAUAAUUGACCUAUUAGUAUAUAAAUUAUUUUAAGCCUAAAGACUUAGAUUUUAGUCCAAAAGUUCUUCCACUAUUUUAUAUGAAUUGACAGCCUCUACCUUCAAUUCGAAGAAUUACUUUAAUUUCUUAGUAGGUACUAGAAUCCACACAGACUGCAUUUGAGCCC
rnacentral:lncRNA from 1 species